rnacentral:rRNA from 1 species
GUGGGGAAUAUUGCACAAUGGGGGAAACCCUGAUGCAGCGACGCCGCGUGAGUGAAGAAGUAUUUCGGUACGUAAAGCUCUAUCAGCAAGGAAGAAAAUGACGGUACUUGACUAAGAAGCCACGGCUAACUACGUGCCAGCAGCCGCGGUAAUACGUAGGGGGCAAGCGUUAUCCGGAUUUACUGGGGGUAAAGGGAGCGUAGACGGUAUGGUAAGUCAGAUGUGAAAGCCCGGGGCUCAACCACGGGACUGCAUUUGAAACUAUCAGACUAGAGUGCAGGAGAGGUAAGUGGAAUUCCUAGUGUAGCGGUGAAAUGCGUAGAUAUUAGGAGGAACACCAGUGGCGAAGGCGGCUUACUGGACUGUAACUGACGUUGAGGCUCGAAAGCGUGGGGAGCAAACAGGAUUAGAAACCCCAGUAGUCC